AUUAAUAAUACCCCACAUUUAUUUUGAAAGUUUAACCUUUUAAUAUUUAGAGCAGUUAGUAAUUAUUAACCCAUACUAAAUAUUUAUAACGAGUAUAGAAUGAAUCUUACUGACAGAAUAUUUUUUUUAUUCUCACCGUUGCCAUUGUUGACUUUUUUUACAUUAUGGUAUAUAUACAACAUGGCUAGUCCUAGUCUAUCGAAUUGACAUUCCACAUUUUAAGAAUGAAUGUUCAUCGAAAGGAGUACUAUUUUAAUAUUUAUUAUUUACAAGUUUAUAUUUUAUUAUAAUGUAUUAUGUUGUGCUGUGACAUGAUUGUUGUGUUUUAUUCAAAAGUAUUUUUUUAAAAUAUUCCCCAAGUCCAGCAAUACUUUGUGACUUAAUUUCAUCGUUGUGAUCAUAUGCAAUAUUAAAUUGAUUGGGGGAAAAUCAAUCUGAUGAUUUUAAAUUGUUUUCUUGGUGAGUGCUGCCUUUGGAUUCUCUUUUUAUCCAAUCCCAACGAAGACGUUCAUUAAUAGGGUACUUAAUCCGUUAAUCCUUCCAAUCAUCAUUUAGGUGCGUGUGUGCGAGAGAGAGAGAGAGAGAGAGAGAGAGAGAGGUGUAUAAGCAUCCUUUUGAUUUUGAUAUACGAUGUACAUGUAUUGACCUAAUGUAACUGGUUUGGUUUGCUACAUGUAGAGUGCAAUUUUAAAAAAAAGUAUUGAUUUCUUUCUUUCAUAUACAUUUAGAAUGAAAGAAAUUUCCUGGUUUUAAUCAUACAUUUAUUAGUAUAAACUGGAUAAUGAAUAUCUCUCUGGUAGUUUUUUGUCUUCUUUUUGUCUUCUUUAGAGUGUCUGGAGUUUGUUUUUGUCUUCUUUAAAGUAUUUAUGUGUUUACUAUCAGUCAUUUGAUAAGAAAAAUAUACAUAUAUGUGAUUAUUAUGUAGUUACGGAUGAUUUCUUUUUCAUUGUAUGAUCUAAGGGAAAUAAAUUAGGCUGUC
rnacentral:misc_RNA from 1 species